rnacentral:rRNA from 1 species
CACGUAGUUAGCCGGGGCUUCUUAGUCAGGUACCGUCAUUUUUUCUUCCCUGCUGAUAGAGCUUUACAUACCGAAAUACUUCUUCACUCACGCGGCGUCGCUGGAUCAGGGUUUCCCCCAUUGUCCAAUAUUCCCCACUGCUGCCUCCCGUAGGAGUUUGGGCCGUGUCUCAGUCCCAAUGUGGCCGUCCACCCUCUCAGGCCGGCUACUGAUCGUCGCCUUGGUGGGCCGUUACCUCACCAACCAGCUAAUCAGACGCGGGUCCAUCAUAUACCACCGUAGUUUUUCACACUGUCUCAUGCAAUACUGUGCGCUUAUGCGGUAUUAGCACCUAUUUCUAAGUGUUAUCCCCCUGUAUAUGGCAGGUUACCCACGCGUUACUCACCCGUCCGCCACUAAGUCAUCAACAUUUCCACUCUUAGCAAGCUAAUUGCUUCAAAAAUGAUGACUCCGUUCGACUUGCAUGUGUUAAGCACGCCGCCAGCGUUCAUCCUGAGCCAA